GGGGAAGGAUCUCCUCUGGAGAUCUGCUCUGCUGGGGUUUCACAAGUGAGCACAGGAUAUGGAUGAGGAGAAGCAAUGAGAAAACAAACAGUACUGCAGAGGUCUUUAGGCGUUAGAGGCAGAGUGAAUGGAACUGCUUUUUAUAAAGUGAUAUGACAGUGUGUAAUGGCAGGAAUAGCACUGCAGCACCUCAUGGAGCACCUCUGCUGACAGACUCACCAGUUUUGUUACGAAGCACGCUCUCUCCUUGUGGCAGCAGCUACAUGAGGACUAUGAGAAAACAGGCUUACAUAAGAAAAGGACAUACUUCCAACAAAUCUCUAUGAACUGGGACACAAGG